GAUUCUGCCAAAUGUCCAGAAUUCCCUAUUGCAGUUGAUGCUAUGGCAUUCUUCUUAGAGUUUGACUAGUUUUAUGCACUAUUCAUUCCAAAGCAAAGCUGGAACCAUGGAAGGUGCAGAAGAGAAAAAUGGAUGGUCACUGUUAUGCCAAGAACCCUUAAGAAAAAGAAAAAAAAAACCCUCACAGAACUGA
rnacentral:lncRNA from 12 species